GUCAUUACUGCUGAAUUGGCAAGGAAGGGCCGUACGUGUGGCUAAAUGUGGUGGGGAAGACAGCCACAGGAAGUGAACUGGAAAAAAUAAAAAAAAAAUAUGGACAUUUUUGAGAUGAUGAUAUUUUUUUUUAGCUCGAUAUUUUUUAUUUUUUUAAGUUAAAAGGCGGAAAUACGAAAGGAAAGGAAAGGAAAGCAAUUGAAACUGCAGUUGUCAGCCGUGAAGGCCUUUUUUUACUCUCUCUGUGUUUCCCUUAUUUUUCUUCUCUCCUCUUCUCAUGUCAUUGUGUUCUGCAUCAAACCCCUUUAAAACAUCCCUCAGAGCUACGAGAAGGUUGGUGUGGUUUUUUGUUUUCCUUUUUUACUUUCUUUACCCACAUAUUUUUACAUUUCUUAAAAGAAAAAAUUAAAAAAAUUAAAAAAGAGAGAAAUAUAUAAAUAAAUCUAUAUCUUAUUACUGCGAUAUAUCUUUUUUUAUAAAAAAAAUUAAUAAAUGACAUAAAAAUAAAAUGGCAAAUAUAUAUAUAUGAUUGAAUAUUCUUUUCUUUAAAAAAAAAAGAGAGAAAAAGCAAGAAAAUCUCUGCGUAUUUAUAUAUAUAUCUAUAUAUAUAUUUUAUAUAUUUAAAAAAAAAAAGUUGACAAAGCGAGACCCUCCCCCCUCUUCGUUCUCGGGUCUCGUUGGAGAUGAGUUGAGUUGCAUUGUGGGCCGUGUGCUCUCUUCUUCUGCAUCCCUUGGUUGCAUCUCUGUGUGCACUUUUUUCUGUCGUCAUGGUUACCUUGCUGUAUGGACAUUUUGGGCCUGAUCUGCAUGAUAGGAGAAUGUUUACGAGGCAACGAUAUUUUGCAUGCCGGUCCUUAUCAGUUUUUUUAUUUUUUAAAAAAAAUUAAUAUUAUUAAUUUCUCCCGCCCCCUUUAAAUUUUUUAUUGUUAUUUCCGUUCUUUCAAAUUGUGUGCGUGAGUGUGCGCGUGCGUGUAUGUAUAUAUAUCUAUACAUAUAAUUUCAAAUGAACUUCUUUCUUUUUUUUAACGUUAUCAGUGGAUUUUCCCCCACCCGCAAAUUUAUUUCUUUUUAAACUUUUUGAUUUUUGCUUUUUGUUUGUUUGUUUCUCUCUUUUUUCUUUUUUUCCCAAAAAAACCUUCCUUUUUGUCGGUUUGUCAGUUGGUUGGUUUCGAUCGGUUAUGCUGUGCUGUAAUUUUAUUCCAACUGCAUUGUGGAAAAAAAGCCAGUGUUCCUGCUACCCUUUCUUCCACCCCCUCCUCCAAAUCUACAACCCCCUCCCACACCCCUCUGACGAUUUAACAACCUCCAACCAGCUCUAAUGCCUGUCUGAGGAACAGCCUCCUGGGAGGAGGGGAGGGGGGGUCUCAGCUAGACGGCCCCGAAAGGAACUUGAGUUUUACAUGGGCUGCUAAAAAGGGAACUUAAGCAUUGCCCUCAAGUUGACAGAGCAAUCCUGGACCCCCAUUACACAAGCAGAAGUUUACUUUCCUUAAACACAAUCGCUUCCGGAUAACCACCGCACCCUCGAUCCACAUGCAAAACAUUUACACUCUUGCAAACCUGCAUUUUUGAUACCACCGUCAAGAGCAGGGGUCAGCAAACUUUUUCAGCAGGGAUCCGGUCCACUGUCCCUCUGACCAUGUGGUGGGCUGGACUAUAUUUGGGGGGGGGGGAAUAAUGAACGAAUUCCUAAGCCCCACAAAUAACCCAGAGAUGCAUUUUAAAUAAGAGGACACAUUCUAUUCAUGUAAAAACACCAGGCAGGCCCCACAAAUAACCCAGAGAUGCAUUUUAGAUAAAAGGACACAUUCUACUCAUGUAAAAACACCAGGCAUGCCCCACAAAUAACCCAGAGAUGCAUUUUAAAUAAAAGGACACAUUCUACUCAUGUAAAAACACCAGGCAGGCCCCACAAAUAACCCAGAGACGCAUUUUAGAUAAAAGGACACAUUCUACUCAUGUAAAAACACCAGGCAGGCCCCACAAAUAACCCAGAGACGCAUUUUAGAUAAAAGGACACAUUCUACUCAUGUAAAAACACCAGGCAGGCACCACAAAUAACCCAGAGAUGCAUUUUAAAUAAAAGGACACAUUCUACUCAUGUAAAAACACCAGGCAGGCCCCACAAAUAACCCAGAGAUGCAUUUUAAAUAAAAGGACACAUUCUACUCAUGUAAAAACACCAGGCAGGCCCCACAAAUAACCCAGAGAUGCAUUUUAAAUAAAAGGACACAUUCUACUCAUGUAAAAAACAAGUUGAUUCCCGGACCAUCCACGGGCCGGAUUUAGAAGGCGAUUGGGCCAGAUCCAGCCCCCGGGCCUUAGUUUGCCUACCCAUGGUCCAGACAGACUGCAUUGCAGAGGGUUGGGCUGGAUGACCCUUCAAAUUCUGUGGCGCCAACAGAGCAUAGCUGCCCCCUACACCUGUCAUCUAAUGAUGACUCUGUCUGUAAAGGUUGUAAACGUUUAAAAUAAGCCGAUAAAAGUCUCUUUCAAUGCCCUGUUUGAAAGUACAUUGCAGCAGGAGGAUUAAACAAUUCUUUUUUAAAGCUUCAGGCAAACCGCGGGUUAUUCUCAAGGUCCCCCACAAAGUGCCUAUGGUUCCACGCAGAACAAAAUUGCACCCGUUGAGGCUUAUGGCCUUCUGAGACUUUGCACCGGGGAUGGAGAGCCUGUGUGGCCCUCCAAAAUAUUGGUGGACUACAAUGCCCAUCAUCCCUGACCGUUGGCCAUGUUGGCUGAGGCAGGCGGCAUCUAAUAAGGACCACUUUCCUGCCCCUUUUUUCUUUUUCUUUUUUAGAAUUUAUAUGCCACUCGAUUGCAGCAAAAAAAAAACCUAAGCAGUUUACAAUAGAAGUUUAAAGGAUCAGUGGGAACUGUCCAGAGAUUCCAAAGGGAUUAAGAUCAACAGCGAAACAGAUUAAAAUGACAUUAUUUGACAAAAUUAACUCCGCCUCCCUUUGUCACUGGCCACAACUACCCACCUGGGUGAGAACCAGGAAUCUGGGAAGUGCGGUUUGUUGAGAGUUGUCAGGAGACCUCCUCAGAGCGCUACAGUUCCCAGAGUGGUUUAGCAAUCAAUCAAGAAUAAGGGGGGGGGUCUCCUUACAACUUAAAAUAUACAGUGCAGAUGGAGACAAAGUAAACCAAUUCAAAGCAACAUUCAAAUUACAGUGGUACCUCGGUUUACAAACACAAUUGGUUCCGGAAGUCUGUACUUAACCUGAAGCGAACUUUCUCAUUGAAAGUAAUGGACAGUGGAUUAAUCCGUUCCAGACGGGUCCGCGGAGUACUUAAACUGAAAGUACUCAAACCGAGGCGUAGUUAAACCGAGGUAUGACUGUACAUGUCUCGGUAGGCGUGCCUGAGCAAAGUUUUCAACAGGCACCAAAAAAAGGGAGCACAAAGGCCUUUGUUUAAUAUCAAUUAGCAGAGAGUUCCAGAGGGUAAGAUGGACUUUCUUAUGUGACUGAGGUGAGUGCCACAUAAAUGCCUCUGGAAACCACCUGCGAUUUUGGAUAUUUUUAAAGUUAAACUUAGAAAAUACUUUGUAUUUGGGGGAUGGAAUCAUCAUAGGGUAUUAGAUUACUGCAAUGCGUUAUGUAGGGCUGCCUCUGAAGAUGGUUCAGAAACGUCAGCUACUGGGAGUGCAGAAUUCAGCGGCCAGGUUGCUCAUCGGAACAAUACGGUUUGAGCAUCUUACACCAAUCCUGGUAUGACUGCACUGGCUACCAAUUAGUUUCUGGGCCCAAGUGCUGGUUUUGACCUAUAAAGCCUUAAACGGCUCAGGACUGCAAUACCUCAGGGACCGCCUCUUUCCAUAUGAACCUACCCGGACCCUGAGAUCAUCCUCUGAGGCUCUCCUUCAUGUGCCUCCUUCUCGAGAGGUCCGGAGGGUGGCAACACGAGAACAGGGCCUUCUCUGCAGUGGCUCCCCGUCUGUGGGAUGCUCUCCCCCGGGAAGUUCGCCUGGUGCCUUCAUUAUACACCUUUGGGCACCAGGCAAAAACAUUCAUCUUCUCCCCAGCCUGGCUGAUUAUCAUUCAAUACCCUUUUAAAUGCGUUGUGGGAAUGGGGUUAUUGGGUUUUUCUUGGGGUUUUUUGUUUGUUUGGUAUGUAGUAUGUCUUUUUUAUAUCGUGAUUUUAUCUUGUGAACCGCCCUGAGACCUGCCAGUAUAGGGCGGUAUACAAAUUUAAUAAAUAAUAAAAAUAAUAAAUAAAAUGCACCACACCGUACACAUUUCAGACAGUAUCAGUUUGAUAAGACUCCCCAUUGCAAACUUUUGAAGGGUCUGCUGCUGCUUAUAAAUGGCUCUCUCUCUCUCUCUCUGACACACACACACACACACACACACACACACACACACACACACACACUUUCCGGCAUUCCCAAAUCUCCACCCACCCACCCCAAAAAACCCCACCCGUCUUCUAUAUAGGACUCCUAUUCCCUUAAUAAUGCAAAGAUGAUGGCCUUAUAAAACCCAGUGGGCAAGUUCCUAAUGUACAGGUAUUAAAGCUGUGUGGUCGACCUGUUUGUGUAUUUAUUCAUUGAGAAAUCCGGUGCAGCUUUGACAGUUAUCUGUCUCAUUAUUAUUUCCUCUCUCUUUUACUUUUGCUUUCUCUUCCUCUCUCUCUCUUUCUUUCCUUCCUUCUCUCUCUCUUUCUCUCUCUGUCUGUCUUUCUCUAAAGAUGCUGGUAUUUCUGUGCUCAAAGAACGCCUGGGUGCUGGCGCUUUUACAUGCACACACUUCAUCCUUUCACAGAUGUUCCCCUCGCUUCUGAGGUUCGGGGGGAGGGCGUGCCUCACCCUAGAAUGCCCAAAAGCAGGGAAUCCAGAGUAUGCCUCUGAACGCCAGUUUCUGGGUAUCCCAAGCGGGGUCCGGCUGGCAAGCCUCCCCGAAGAAAGAGUCCCUAGAUAGACAUUUGAUAUGAACCAGUCCGGCUCACCCAAUGUUCUCACGAAACAAUAGAUGGUUUCUUCCCUGCACCAAGGCAUCCUUGACCCCACUUGCCCUUUCCUCCGGAGAUUAAUUAGCAUUUGCAAAUGAUUACUUCAGCUGGAGGACAGGGUGGUGGGUGAUGCGAGCUUGCAAGGCUUGUGAGCUACCUUUCAGGCAAGUCUCAAGCCUCACUUGUAAAGCAAGGUUUCCAAAUUUGCUCAUCCGACUGGGGCUGACAGGAGUUGUGGUCCAAAAUCUCCGCAGGGCACCAAUUUGUAGGGGCACGAGGCAGCAAUAACCCCCUGGAGUUAAGAGCAGGCAUCCCCAAACUGUGGCCCUCCAGAUGUUUUGGCCUACAACUCCCAUGAUCCCAGCUAACAGGACCAGUGGUCGGGGAAGAUGGGAAUUGUAGUCCAAAACAUCUGGAGGGCCGAAGUUUGGGGAUGCCUGAGUUAGAGUCUUCUGCAAAUGUUGUAGAAAUGUGGGAAAAUUAAUGAAAUACAUAGGGCCAGAUCCCAGGCUUAGCUGAAAUUGGGUCUUGUCAAAAGCUAUGGGGCAAGUGUAGUCAUGACUUGGGGUUGGUCCUUUCUGGGGGCAGAGCUGUGCUGAUUAACGACCUAAGUAAUAUAGGACAGCUAACUCCAAUGAGUCUACUCUGAGUAGGACUUAGUUGGAUGCAACCCUUGAUGUUUAAGCCCCCACUUAUUUCAGUGGGAACUUAAGAGCAGCUGACUUGUUCUGAAUCCAACAGGUGGAUGGAGCCUGUAGUGUAAAAUAUUUUGAGCCGAGGGGCUGACUUGUGCUAGAGCAGGCACCCCCAAACUUUGGCCCUCCAGAUGUUUUGGACUACAGUUCCCAUCAUCCCUGACCACUGGUCCUGUUAGCUAGGGAUCAUGGGAAUUGUAGGCCAAAACAUCUGGAGGGCUGCGGUUUGGGGGUGCCUGUGCUAGAGUAUGGGGUUAAGGCUACAGUAAUGACCAAGUGAGGGCAGGAAUUUGAGAAGGCCACAUCUGCAUGAAGAUUAUUUUGUUGGAAUGUCAACAUUUCCCACUCCUAAAAAAAUUAAAAAGGAGAAACAUGAAUUUUGCAGUCUGGGAACUUCCCUGCCCUAUGGAUUCCUCCACUGGGAUUUCUUCCCACAGAGUAGUGUGGUUUGUUUGGAGUUUUUUUUUAGUUUGCCCCACAUAAAAAUCCUCAUAAGGUUAUCAGAGGUCCUUAGUUUUUAAGCUCGUCUUCAGAGAUACCACUCAUUAACUUGCCCUCCUCUUUGCCCCUUCGGGGGAGAGUCGAGUGUCUUUAUAUAACAUAAUUGGGGAGGCCUCUUGAAUCCCCAGCAGCUUCAAGACAACUUAAUGGAGGUGGGGAUGUUCCCCCCCCCCCCGAGGGUAGAAAGUUUUGAAAAACACCAGCUGUGGAGGAAGGACUAUUCAAGGAUAACCUGCCCAAGUUGAAAACCUUGACAAUCUUCAAUUCCGGUGGGGUAUAAACCAGCCAGGCCCCUUACAGAAUAAUAAUAAUAAUAAUAACACGUAUGUUCUGUAACAUGCCUAUGAAAAAUAAAGCAAAAACUUUACAAAAAGCAAGGCCGAGUUUGCCUGUGCCUGGAGUAGAAUGUCUGGGUGGCCACUGUGAGACUGAGAUGCUGGACUAUUCGGGCCCUGAUCCAGCAGUGAUCUUUUUUAGGGCUCUUGCAGUAAUAACCCAACUGUCUUCAGGAUAUCAAGGCUUUGGGGUGACCAUAUCUCAAUAUUUCACUGCUGUGGUGCAUUUUUGAGGCCUUAUCCAGUCAGCACAGUUGGGCAUUUCAGAACACAUUGUUGUGACAUUAGCAUUCAGUGUUGCGAAGCUACAUUAAGAGGUUGCUUGUUCAUUACUGCAAUUCUCUCGUCCAUAGGCUUCCUCUUUGUAAAGUUCUUGGAUUUUUUUUUCAUACCUGUGUUCCAGAUUUAGUGCCUUGACUUUAUUUACUCUCUUGGUAUGACACCUUCUGCUCUCCCCCCCCCCCCCCACUGAGUUCUUAGUAUUAUUGCUUUGGUGUAGGGAGGGUUGAAGGGACGCAGGUGGCGCUGUGGUCUAAACCACUGAGCCUCUUGGGCUUGCCAAUCAGAAGGUCGGCGGUUCAAAUCCCUGUGACAGUUCCAGCUCCUGCCAACCCAGCAGUUCGAAAGCAUGUCAAAGUGCAAGCAGAUAAAUAGGUACCGCUCCGGCAGGAAUGUAAAUGGUGUUUCCGUGCGCUGCUCUAGUUUCGCCAGGAGCGGCUUAGUCCUGCUGGCCAUAUGACACGGGAAAACUGUCUGUGGACAAACGCCGGCUCCCUCGGCCUGUAAAGCAAGAUCAGCGCCGUAACCCCAGAGUCGUCUGCGACUGGACUUAACUGUCAGGGGUCCUUUACCUUUUUUUUUUAGGGAGGGUUAGGUUGGGGUUUUUUUGCAGGGUGCAUCUCUUUAAACACCCCCCCCCAAAAAAAAAAACC